CGUUCCCGGUGGGCUCGAACCACCAACCUUUCGGUUAACAGCCGAACGCGCUAGCCGAUUGCGCCACGGAGAC
rnacentral:tRNA from 1 species